AGAGUUUGAUCAUGGCUCAGAACGAACGCUGGCGGCGCGCCUAAUACAUGCAAGUCGAGCGAGAAGACGUAGCAAUACGUUUGUAAAGCGGCGAACGGGUGAGGAAUACAUGGGUAACCUACCCUCGAGUGGGGAAUAACUAGCCGAAAGGUUAGCUAAUACCGCAUACGACUCUCGAUCUGCGGAUCGAGAGAGAAAGCGAUACCGUGGGUAUCGCGCUCUUGGAUGGGCUCAUGUCCUAUCAGCUUGUUGGUGAGGUAACGGCUCACCAAGGCUUCGACGGGUAGCUGGUCUGAGAGGACGAUCAGCCACACUGGCACUGCGACACGGGCCAGACUCCUACGGGAGGCAGCAGUAAGGAAUAUUGCGCAAUGGGCGACAGCCUGACGCAGCGACGCCGCGUGGGGGAUGAAGGUCUUCGGAUUGUAAACCCCUUUCGGCAGGGAAGAUGGAGCGGGAAACCGUUCGGACGGUACCUGCAGAAGCAGCCACGGCUAACUUCGUGCCAGCAGCCGCGGUAAUACGAAGGUGGCAAGCGUUGUUCGGAUUUACUGGGCGUACAGGGAGCGUAGGCGGUUGGGUAAGCCCUUCGUGAAAUCUCCGGGCCUAACCCGGAAAGUGCGGAGGGGACUGCUCGGCUAGAGGAUGGGAGAGGAGCGCGGAAUUCCCGGUGUAGCGGUGAAAUGCGUAGAGAUCGGGAGGAAGGCCGGUGGCGAAGGCGGCGCUCUGGAACAUUUCUGACGCUGAGGCUCGAAAGCGUGGGGAGCAAACAGGAUUAGAUACCCUGGUAGUCCACGCCUUAAACGAUGGAUACUAAGUGUCGGCGGGUUACCGCCGGUGCCGCAGCUAACGCAGUAAGUAUCCCGCCUGGGAAGUACGGCCGCAAGGUUGAAACUCAAAGGAAUUGACGGGGGCUCGCACAAGCGUGGAGCAUGUGGUUUAAUUCGACGCAGCGCGAGAACCUUACCCAG
rnacentral:rRNA from 1 species